UUAUACUCAUUCAUUCAAGAUCACGAGCUCCUUCACUCUCAGGGCUGGGUCAACACAAGAUCUUGCACGCUCGAUGGGCAUGAGAGUUAGAAUAUCCUAUUGAGUCAUAGAUGCACGUGAUAACCCCUUUUAGGUUAACUAUUUGAGUGCCAACGUAUGAGUCCCAACAAAGUCUUUUAGAUAGGUUAGUUUUUGUAGUAUGUUGAAGAUCAACUCAAUUUGUAGAUGAGAUGUUUGGAUUUGUG
rnacentral:lncRNA from 1 species